UCAACAGUAAGAGAAGGAGCAAUAUCGCCAUUUGAUGAUUUGCCCACUGGACAUACCACGACUGCCACUCCAGUUCACUCGGCUGUACAUUGAAUUAGUAUUGCCUUCGGCUGGAGGGAGAGCUUAGACUGUGAUGGACUGGUGUCUCACUCUGUUACUCUUAUCCGUUAACCACGUAUCAUUCCGAGGAAUGACAAUGAUGAUCAGAACUCGUCAGUACCUCCGCAACUAGUAGGAUUCAGAAGUAUUCAUAGAGUUUUUCACCCCAAUCUCAAAUGAUGUGGUUGAUGCAGAACCCGCAUUCCUUAUGGUGAACUGAAACUACUUCAAGUGAAAAGUGCCACAGGAUGACAAAACUUUCUCAUGAUGGAGACGUCAACAAUGCCGGUGAAGGGCUUCAAAAUUUAGGCCUAUGAUUGGAGCUUACAACCUUUGAGCAGGGGGUCUUUAUUCUGCCAUACCUGCUGUGACACAGGGCCUCGGGUUUUGUUGUCUUAUCCGAAGGACCGCCCCAUUUAGUCGCCUCUUACGACAAGCAGGAAUACUGAGGACCUAUUCUAACCCGGAUCACGGAGGUGUAUCGUCCAUAAUCAGAUCCACAAAAAUUCCACAGGAAACCAACCAACAGGACGGACACAUAAUUGUGUACACUCGAUUUAAGAUGCAGAUAUUGAAUUUAAUUUCUAUCAAUAUGUUGAUGAGUGUAUACAUGUGAUAACUAAGUGAUGAUACACAAUAUACUGUCUGUCAUCGUAAAUAAACGAUAACAUACGUGUUGUAAUAAUCUGUGGUCAACUGACGAGAAAAUUACGUUUUGUUUGAAUAAAAUAUUUUAUUUAGGCAUGGCGGAGUCGAAAUUAUUGGUUGAAACUU